GACGAACGCUGGCGGCGUGCUUAACACAUGCAAGUCGAACGGUAAGGCCCUUCGGGGUACACGAGUGGCGAACGGGUGAGUAACACGUGGGUAAUCUGCCCUGCACAUCGGGAUAAGCCUGGGAAACUGGGUCUAAUACCGAAUAGGACCACAGAACACAUGUCCUGUGGUGGAAAGCUUUUGCGGUGUGGGAUGGGCCCGCGGCCUAUCAGCUUGUUGGUGGGGUGAUGGCCUACCAAGGCGACGACGGGUAGCCGGCCUGAGAGGGUGUCCGGCCACACUGGGACUGAGAUACGGCCCAGACUCCUACGGGAGGCAGCAGUGGGGAAUAUUGCACAAUGGGCGAAAGCCUGAUGCAGCGACGCCGCGUGGGGGAUGACGGCCUUCGGGUUGUAAACCUCUUUCACCAUCGACGAAGGUCCGGGUUUUCUCGGGCUGACGGUAGGUGGAGAAGAAGCACCGGCCAACUACGUGCCAGCAGCCGCGGUAAUACGUAGGGUGCGAGCGUUGUCCGGAAUUACUGGGCGUAAAGAGCUCGUAGGUGGUUUGUCGCGUUGUUCGUGAAAUCUCACGGCUUAACUGUGAGCGUGCGGGCGAUACGGGCAGACUUGAGUACUGCAGGGGAGACUGGAAUUCCUGGUGUAGCGGUGGAAUGCGCAGAUAUCAGGAGGAACACCGGUGGCGAAGGCGGGUCUCUGGGCAGUAACUGACGCUGAGGAGCGAAAGCGUGGGGAGCGAACAGGAUUAGAUACCCUGGUAGUCCACGCCGUAAACGGUGGGUACUAGGUGUGGGUUUCCUUCCUUGGGAUCCGUGCCGUAGCUAACGCAUUAAGUACCCCGCCUGGGGAGUACGGCCGCAAGGCUAAAACUCAAAGAAAUUGACGGGGGCCCGCACAAGCGGCGGAGCAUGUGGAUUAAUUCGAUGCAACGCGAAGAACCUUACCUGGGUUUGACAUGCACAGGACGCCGGCAGAGAUGUCGGUUCCCUUGUGGCCUGUGUGCAGGUGGUGCAUGGCUGUCGUCAGCUCGUGUCGUGAGAUGUUGGGUUAAGUCCCGCAACGAGCGCAACCCUUGUCUCAUGUUGCCAGCGGGUAAUGCCGGGGACUCGUGAGAGACUGCCGGGGUCAACUCGGAGGAAGGUGGGGAUGACGUCAAGUCAUCAUGCCCCUUAUGUCCAGGGCUUCACACAUGCUACAAUGGCCGGUACAAAGGGCUGCGAUGCCGCGAGGUUAAGCGAAUCCUUUUAAAGCCGGUCUCAGUUCGGAUCGGGGUCUGCAACUCGACCCCGUGAAGUCGGAGUCGCUAGUAAUCGCAGAUCAGCAACGCUGCGGUGAAUACGUUCCCGGGCCUUGUACACACCGCCCGUCACGUCAUGAAAGUCGGUAACACCCGAAGCCAGUGGCCUAACCCUUUGGGAGGGAGCUGUCGAAGGUGGGAUCGGCGAUUGGGACG
rnacentral:rRNA from 2 species